ensembl:snoRNA LOC120096110 small nucleolar RNA SNORA44
GAGCACCUCAUAGCCAUGGGAUCUCCAACUGCAUGCCAGAGUAACGGAGAGACUUUGACAGCCCGGGUUAUCACAGUGCCUGCUGUUGCCACUCAGCUCUCCUAUAUGU